UUAAUGGGUGAUAGCGUGCCUUUUGUAGAAUGAACCGGCGAGUUACGAUUUGUUGCAAGGUUAAGCGGAAAAAGCGGAGCCGUAGCGAAAGCGAGUCUGAAUAGGGCGCAUAAGUAACAGGUCGUAGACCCGAAACCAGGUGAUCUACCCAUGUCCAGGAUGAAGGUAAGGUAAUACUUACUGGAGGUCCGAACCCACGCACGUUGAAAAGUGCGGGGAUGAGGUGUGGGUAGCGGAGAAAUUCCAAUCGAACUUGGAGAUAGCUGGUUCUCUCCGAAAUAGCUUUAGGGCUAGCCUCGAGGUAAAGAGUCAUGGAGGUAGAGCACUGUUUGGACUAGGGGCCCUUCUCGGGUUACCGAAUUCAGAUAAACUCCGAAUGCCAUGUACUUAUACUCGGGAGUCAGACUGCGAGUGAUAAGAUCCGUAGUCGAAAGGGAAACAGCCCAGACCACCAGUUAAGGUCCCCAAAUAUAUGUUAAGUGGAAAAGGAUGUGGGGUUGCUUAGACAACCAGGAUGUUGGCUUAGAAGCAGCCACCAUUGAAAGAGUGCGUAAUAGCUCACUGGUCGAGUGACCCCGCGCCGAAAAUGUACCGGGGCUAAACAUAUUACCGAAACUGUGGAUGAACCUCUUUAGAGGUUCGUGGUAGGAGAGCGUUCUAAGGGCGGUGAAGUCAGACCGGAAGGACUGGUGGAGCGCUUAGAAGUGAGAAUGCCGGUAUGAGUAGCGAAAGAAGGGUGAGAAUCCCUUCCACCGAAUAUCUAAGGUUUCCUGAGGAAGGCUCGUCCGCUCAGGGUUAGUCGGGACCUAAGCCGAGGCCGAUAGGCGUAGGCGAUGGACAACAGGUAGAGAUUCCUGUACCAGUGCUAAUUGUUUAACCGAUGGGGUGACACAGAAGGAUAGGGAAUCGCACGAAUGGAAAUGUGCGUCCAAGCAGUGAGUGUGAGAAGUAGGCAAAUCCGCUUCUCGCGAAGCAUGAGCUGUGAUGGGGAAGGAAAUUAAGUACGGAAGUUCCUGAUUUCACGCUGUCAAGAAAAGCCUCUAGGAAGAGUAGUACUGCCCGUACCGCAAACCGACACAGGUAGAUGAGGAGAGAAUCCUAAGGUGAGCGAGAGAACUCUCGUUAAGGAACUCGGCAAAAUGACCCCGUAACUUCGGGAGAAGGGGUGCUCUAUUAGGGUGCAAGCCCGAGAGAGCCGCAGUGAAUAGGCCCAGGCGACUGUUUAGCAAAAACACAGGUCUCUGCAAAACCGUAAGGUGACGUAUAGGGGCUGACGCCUGCCCGGUGCUGGAAGGUUAAGAGGAGUGCUUAGCUUCGGCGAAGGUACGAAUUGAAGCCCCAGUAAACGGCGGCCGUAACUAUAACGGUCCUAAGGUAGCGAAAUUCCUUGUCGGGUAAGUUCCGACCCGCACGAAAGGCGCAACGAUCUGGGCACUGUCUCAACGAGAGACUCGGUGAAAUUAUAGUACCUGUGAAGAUGCAGGUUACCCGCGACAGGACGGAAAGACCCCGUGGAGCUUUACUGCAACCUGAUAUGGAAUGUUUGUACCGCUUGUACAGGAUAGGUAGGAGCCGAAGAGACGUGUGCGCUAGCAUACGAGGAGGCAAUGGUGGGAUACUACCCUGGCUGUAUGACCAUUCUAACCCGCCACGCUUAGCGCGUGGGGAGACAGUGUCAGGUGGGCAGUUUGACUGGGGCGGUCGCCUCCUAAAGAGUAACGGAGGCGCCCAAAGGUUCCCUCAGAAUGGAUGGAAAUCAUUCGCAGAGUGUAAAGGCACAAGGGAGCUUGACUGCGAGACUGACAAGUCGAGCAGGGACGAAAGUCGGGCUUAGUGAUCCGGUGGUUCCGCAUGGAAGGGCCAUCGCUCAACGGAUAAAAGCUACCCCGGGGAUAACAGGCUUAUCUCCCCCAAGAGUCCACAUCGACGGGGAGGUUUGGCACCUCGAUGUCGGCUCGUCGCAUCCUGGGGCUGUAGUCGGUCCCAAGGGUUGGGCUGUUCGCCCAUUAAAGCGGCACGCGAGCUGGGUUCAGAACGUCGUGAGACAGUUCGGUCCCUAUCCGUCGCGGGCGCAGGAAAUUUGAGAGGAGCUGUCCUUAGUACGAGAGGACCGGGAUGGACACACCGCUGGUGUACCAGUUGUUCCGCCAGGAGCAUCGCUGGGUAGCUAUGUGUGGCAGGGAUAAACGCUGAAAGCAUCUAAGCGUGAAGCCCCCCUCAAGAUGAGAUUUCCCAUUUCUUCGGAAAGUAAGAUCCCUGAAAGAUGAUCAGGUAGAUAGGUUUGGAGUGGAAGUGUAGCGAUACAUGGAGCGGACAAAUACUAAUCGAUCGAGGACUUAACCAAAA
rnacentral:rRNA from 1 species